ACAGUGUUUCCAGUGUCAACGAAUCAAUGCCAGUGGGGUUUGCGAGACUGGGGAAAGUGUCUGCCAGGCUAAAGGCAACCAGCAGUGCUUUCUGAGGAAGGUCUAUAAAGAUGCCAUCCUUUCAUAUGGAUAUCAAGGUUGUAGCAGUGUGUGUUCCCCUAUGACAAUCUUUUAUAUGGAUGUUGCUUUGGAGGAUAAAUGUUGCAAUGACUCACCUUUCUGCAACAAGUUCUAAAGAUGGAGCCCAGCGUUGCCCUGACCUGAUGGAUGAAGCUGAUUGAACACACUUUUCAACUCUCAGGAUCCUUACAACUAUUGUGCACUGACUAUGGGCUCCCUAUAAGGAGAAGUCAUAAGCUAGUUCUGUGCCAGGUCCAAUCACCCUUUUCUCUCCCUCAUUGUGAGAUGCUACCGGGAGAGUCUUUAAAAUCCAAUUGGUGUGAGGAGUGGUGGGCAUGGGUAGGUCCAAGCAUGCCUUCUUCCUUUCAAGGCCCUAAUCACGAGUCAUGCUUAUUUUCAUUUUAAAAAGGCAGGGUUUGUGGGAGACUGUGGGUUCUGUCAUUCUGGGUGUUGUGGAGGCAGCUAGCUGAAGGAAGAAGGAGAGUCCUCAGAAGCUGAAGAGCAUAAGGAAUGAGUUGGCUGUAAAUGAUGUAUGAGUUGGAGGGGGCAAGCUGUAACAAAAAUCUCUGAAAUGUUGGUGUCUUAAAAUAAUAAUGAAAAAUAAUAAAAAAAAGAUUGCUAACCCA